rnacentral:rRNA from 1 species
GAUGAACGCUGGCGGCGUGCCUAAUACAUGCAAGUCGAACGCUGGAGAUCUAGCUUGCUAGAUCGAAGGAGUGGCGAACGGGUGAGUAAUACAUAAGCAACCUACCCACGAAGACUGGGAUAAUCUCUGGAAACGGGGACUAAUACCGGAUAGGUAAUCGGAAGGCAUCUUCUGGUUAUUAAAGGUUAAAAACACUGGUGGAUGGGCUUAUGGCGCAUUAGUUAGUUGGUGAGGUAACGGCCCACCAAGACGAUGAUGCGUAGCCGGCCUGAGAGGGUGAACGGCCAAAUUGGGACUGGGACACGGCCCAGACUCCUACGGGAGGCAGCAGUAGGGAAUUUUCGGCAAUGGGGGCAACCCUGACCGAGCAACGCCGCGUGAGUGAAGACGGCCUUCGGGUUGUAAAGCUCUGUUGUAAGGGAAGAACGGUAGAUAGAGAAUAUCUAAGUGACGGUACCUUACCAGAAAGCCACGGCUAACUACGUG